UAAACACAGCUUUCAAAGGAUAGAAGCAGAAGCAUGUGUUCCAGUAUUUAAAUCUUUUGCUAAUGUCCAUUUAUCCAUCAAUCACACAAGACCUGUGGAUGAAGAUGAAAUAAAAGAAUAUGAGUUGGCAAUCAAAGAAUUUUCUAUCGCAUUUCAAAAAGUGUGCACUGAACGUGAUGCAGCCAAAAUUGCACAUAUUGGAACACCAUGUUGUUGAAUUCAUGAAGCAGUGAACGUUGGUCUUCGAAUGCUUUCCGAGCAGGGUGGUGAACUUAUCCAUGCAGAAUUCAAUCGCCAGAAUAGAACAGUUUAUGGCAUCAAGAACCCACUUGACCAACUGAUGUCCAUUAUGAAAUCCCACAUAUUUACUUCGCCAGAAAUUCAACACGAAAUAACGAUGAAGGCAAAGAGGAGGAAAUCUAAAGUAUUAGUUAAUGACAUUAGAUCAGCAAUAUACAAUUAAUAAUAACCAGAAAUGAAAAUUUUUCUUGUGAUAUUUUUUAAAAUACUUAUUUAAAGUCUUGUCUAGAAGUCAUGUUUUCACAUUUCCUCUCUUAGAAUGUAAAUAUAGAUUGUCUUGUGUUUUGAAGUAAAUAAAUUAGAUUCAACCUUACAUGAUAUCCUAAGUUAAAUAGUGAGUAUAAUAAUAAUAAUAAUAAUAAUAAUAAUAACAAUAACAGUAAUAAUAAUUCAGGACAAAGCUGAUCAUACUGAUCUGAUUUAAGUUUGCUUUUUUUGUGGGUGGGGAAUUAUUGAGGGGUGGUGGUUGUUGUUACGGUUUCUAUUUCAUGUAAUUUGUAAUAUUGUUGGCAUGGCAUGUAUUUUUGUUAACUGUAUUGGGUUAACAUUUUGCUGUUCUGCUUUAUAAAUAUAACAUAGGCCUAUUAAUUACUAUUUUAUUUCAAACUAAGCCAGGCAAGCAGUAGCAAGCUAUAAUUAUAAGUAUAGGCCUAGUACAGCAGUAGGCCCUAUUGUUGUAUUGUAGUGUAGGCCUAUGCCCAGGCUAGGCCUUAUGUAUAAUUUAGGGAAGAAUGUCUUGAAUUGCAUUGAACUCGUGUAUCAGGGAGGUAUAAAAUUGCUAAUGCUUGUAGUAGUCUUUUAUCUAACAUACAUACUUGAGUUUACUACUGUGUAUGCGUAGCACUGAGCCUACUGUAGGCCUAUAUUGUGUACACAGUGAAACGCAUGCCUCUACUGUUAAGAUACACGUUUAAAUCGAAACAUCGGCAUCAAUAAAAAAAAAAUUCAACUGGGAA